CGGAGUAGAGCCAGGUUGGUUAGGCGCUUCAUUUGGGUUGAGGAUUUUCUAUGUUCGAACCAUAGUGCUCCGA
rnacentral:tRNA from 2 species